GACGAACGCUGGCGGCAUGCCUAAUACAUGCAAGUCGAGCGGAGUUGACGAGAAGCUUGCUUCUCUGAUACUUAGUGGCGGACGGGUGAGUAACACGUAGGCAACCUGCCUUUCAGUUUGGGAUAACUUCCGGAAACGGAUGCUAAUACCGAAUACAUCAUCUUCUGGCAUCAGAGAAUGAGGAAAGACGGCGCAAGCUGUCACUGAGAGAUGGGCCUGCGGCGCAUUAGCUAGUUGGUGGGGUAAUGGCUCACCAAGGCGACGUUGCGUAGCCGGCCUGGGAGGGUGAACGGCACACUGGGACUGAGACACGGCCCAGACUCCUACGGGAGGCAGCAGUAGGGAAUCUUCCACAAUGGGCGAAAGCCUGAUGGAGCAAUGCCGCGUGAGUGAUGAAGGUUUUCGGAUCGUAAAGCUCUGUUGCCAGGGAAGAGCGUCCGGGUGAGUAACUGCACCCGGAGUGACGGUACCUGAGAAGAAAGCCCCGGCUAACUACGUGCCAGCCGCCGCCGUAA
rnacentral:rRNA from 1 species